AUUUGUUUAAUUGUCAUGGUCAGACGUUUAUCACACAGUUAACAUUGAGCCCAUCUCUUUUAUCCCAAGGAUAUGAAGAAACAAUGGGACAUCAGAGCUGGAGAAAUGGAGGCAUUUCAUCUCCAGCUCCAGGAGCGUGUUGAACGCAUACAGAAACUGAAAGCUGUUGUAAGUCCAUUACUGCUCAAUCAAACUCACUGGUUUGGUAUGAUGAUAAAGAGCUAUCUUAAUGGGGUUUAUGUUAUGGCUCCCAACAGUGGGGACCGAUGGAACCACUUAAAGAGCAUCACGGUGGGGAUGCCAGGAUCCCUAGUGCCACCAACACCCAAUCUACCGCACUUAAAAAUGCAGAAUCUUCUACAGAUCAACACCACAGUGGAGGAGGUGAACAGGGGUCUUCAGGGUAGGCUAUGUUACAAACACACAACAUAUGUCCCACCAACCAGAAUCACUUUAUUCUGUAUUGAUAUGUUCUUUACUUUACAUGUAUAUCUGUUUACUUUGCAACAGACAAAAAUUGUCAGCUUGAAGAGAAGAAUGCCGCUCUACAUCAAAAACUCCACAGCACUGAGAAGAUGUAUAGACAGACUCUAAACRAGCUGUAAGUGGAUUUUGAAAUUAGUUUGAUCAUAUUAGGAUUUGUUCUCAUUCACAUGACAUGUACAUUGGUGUUUGUCUUUUCACAGGACCAAAGCCCUGAUUCAAGGCAAACAUGAGGAAAAGCAACAUGUAAGUAAGCCUAAGACAGCCUGCCAAAUACUGAUCCAUAACCGCUCAAUAGUAAGCUAAACUACGAAGUACUUAAACUAAACCAUAAGCCCCAGUAUCAACACUCGUAUUGGGUCACAUGUGAUAGGAUGUCUUUGCACACAUUUCUAAUGCAAUUUUUGUUUUCUCUUCAGAUUGCCACGCUACAAGAGAAAAUCCAGACCAUAUCUGUAAGUAGAACAUUCACUUUCAAGUUAGCUACUGUAGUUGCACUAAGGUGUUAUAAGCUACGUUUUGCUAGUUACUCUGUGUCUUGCUGUACACUAAGAUAUACAGUGUUGCUUGAAUGUAUGUAAACCCUACAGGGCUGGUCAUUAUUUUGCUAUAAAAUAUACAUAUGAAAUCCUUAUCUAAACCCCAAUUCGUAAUAAAAACAUUCCAAGUAAGUGACAGAAACCAACACAAUUAUGAUAUAUUUUCAUUGUUUAUUUGACAAAAGAGGUUUGUUUAACAGAAACUCAGAUUUGAUGUGUGCAAAAUACAUGAACUCCUUCAGUCAAUCGCUUGUGGCACCUCCAUUAGCAGCGAUAACUUGGAGUAAAUGUCUCCUAUAUGCAGUAAUCAGUUUCUGACAUCUGUUUUGAGGGAKUUUUGCCCACUCCCCCUUACAGAACUCAGCCAAUUUGAGUGAGGGGUGUCUGGCAUGAACUUCCUGCUUCAGGUCCUGCCACAGCAUCUCGAUUGGAUUUAAGUCAGGACUUUGACUUGGCCAAUCCAAAACACAAAUCUUCUUUCUCGUGAGCCAUUCUUUAGUAGAUUUGCUUGAGUACUUUGGGUCAUUGUCUUGUUGGAAGCCACAUUUUCGACCCAGCUUCAGCUCCUUGACUGAUGACCUGGCGUUCUGUUCAAGAAUCUCCUGGUAUACCUCAGAAUCCAUGGUUCUCUUAAUGAUGUGGAGUCAUCCGGAUCCAGAGGAGGAAAAGCAGCCCCAGAUCUUGACAUUCCCAGCACCAUGCUUGACUGUUGGGAUAAGGUUAUUUAGGUGGUGGGCAGUGUUGGGUUUUUGCCAAACAUAGCGGUGAUGAUUGUGACCAAAAAGGUMAAUUUUUUGAUGAAUUGAUCCAGAGAAUGGACUUCCAGAAACACUCAGGUUUGUACAGGUGGUCUCUGGCAAAUUUAAGACGGGCAGUUUGGUUAUUUUUUUGACAGCGGAGGCUUCUUCCUAGCAACCCCCCCCAUGAAUGGCAUUUGGAUUCAGUGUUCUUAUUAUUGAAGCUUGCACAGUUACCGGAGAUGCAGCAAGGGUGGUCUGCAAAUCUUUAGAAGUUAUGUUUGGGUUUGCUUUUACCUGAUUUAUUAUUGUUCUUGUGGCUCUUGGGGAUAUUUUGGAAGGGCGUCCACUUCUAGGCCGACUUGCUGUCAUGUUAUAUGCUCUCCAUUUGUAAAUGCCUCACAGAGGACUGAGCUCAAAUCUUUUAAAGAGGAUUUUAUAGCCUUCUCCCAGACUGAUGUGCUCUCACUACCCUCGUCCUGAUGUCCUCUGAGAUCUCCUUUCCUGUUGGCAUGGUGUGCUUUGCAUUCACCUGGAUGGGUAACACCAAACUGACCAGGUUUCUUAUCUCUAUUAUCAUAGUCCAGCCCAAACUCUGUCCUAACRAUCUUUCCUUUAUUGGUUCAUUUGGUACCCAAGUAUGUACCCACCUUAUUCGACAUACUUACUGAUUUAACCAAUGCAACUUGGGGUUUAAUUAUUUUUGCACCUGCAAUAAUUCCUUUAAAAACAAAACAUUCUACUACACGUAUGAUUUCUUCUUCAACAACAUAUGGUAUUGGUAAAUAUUAACCUGUUAUGUCAGAUAAAAAAGAYUGAUUCUGAUUCAAUUAAGAUUUUAAUGUAAAAACUACAAUAUAUCUGUAAUUGCACAAGGGGAUCACAUACUUUCAAGUAGUACUGUAAUUUGUUUAUUGUCUUUAGCGGAGAGCCUCUGCUGCYGAGCAUGCUCUGGCCAUGGAGAAGAAUGAGGCAGCGCUACUCCGCCAGAGGUGAGUCCAACAGUCAAUGAAUUCUAUUGAAAUAUAUUACUGUCGGAGGCAUGUCGAGUGCUAAAACUCGACUGGACCAUGCCACGGUUUCGUCGGGUUCUAGUCACUACUCGGCGUCUGUCCGUGUUCUUCCUCUCUGUCUUCAUCCACCKACCUCUCUCCCUAGCCUCUACUUCCUACUACAGCAGGAGUGUCUCCUUUAAAAAACGAAAUAAAAAAAAACAUUAUUGAUGAGUGGACAUCUGAAUUGUAAACUAUAGAAGGGAAUUUCAUUCCAUCCUUAACCCUAAAACAUCAUUUACAUUCUAUGACACUAAAAGCUACAACCACAACCCCUCAUUGUGGUCAGUUGAGUGCUUAUGCCACGCUCACGUGCUCGUCGGAACUUCCUACUUUCUAGGAAAUACGACUGUUUCAUUCAUGUGCUUUUUGGUUGGAAUAAUUAUCCAACCAAUACGAUUUUAGCUAGCUUGAUAAACUAGCUGACGUUGCUCAUAAUUACGUUAGCUAGCAUCCUUAACAUUGACAAUAUGGCCAAACUAUCAAUUUUAACAGGGUUGUAGUUGUCAAAAACGUAUUUGCUGUCAUCUUUUGGUUGAAACGGUAAAAGGUCAGUGGUGAAACGUCACAACUCGGCAACAGCUUUUCUCAGUUUCCCACUUGUAAUUCCGAUUUGGAGGGUCGUUCAAGGGAAACUUCCUAGUUUGAAUUUGGAAUUUUCGAUAACUAUUAUAGCACGUGAACGUGGCAUUAGUCAAGAUCUACCCUGUUAGGGACAAUUUGGGCAGUCCUCUCUAAGAACUGUGAUUUCUUUCUAGGAUUUUUCAACUAACCUCUAAGAAGCUGAAAAUAGGAAAACCUGGGUUCCUGAUCAAGACCAUCCCCAAGCCCCCGAAAACAACCAAGACCAACAAACCCUUCUUGAAAACCUGCAAAGUUCUGAAAGCUUUCAAAGCACUAAUGAAGAUAUGAAGGCAAUGCAUACAAUUGUACAUUUGGUGCAAUUAUUCUCAGGACACGGGGUGAAGCAGAGUACAAUAAAUAAAUCCAGAUGCCUUAUUCCAUCAAACAACUGCAAGAAGUCUUCUUUAAAAUCAACCAAGCUAAAUUGGACACGUGUUUUAUGUCAUUUAUAUGGUAGGUCUCAUUAGAUAUCAUCCAACUCUUUAAAAAUGCCUUUGUAUGCAGAUUUCUGCUCUGUUUCCAUUAGGUAAGAUACAACUCCAUGGGGCUUACCUGCCAAGACCUCCAUGGAAGCCACAUAUCCCAUCAAUUACCAAAGCCAAAUGGUAGGCCUAUGAUGAAGUCUAUUUUCUAGGUCUCCAGGGCUAUUUUGCCGACGGGAAACCCCCACGUGAAGGUCGAUUUGUCCUCACUUUUGAUACCCAGACUCUCUUUAGAGACCUGAGCUGUCCAAGAAACCUAGACAUCUUAACAGCUGUAGAUGGUUCACUUGAGUGCUUUGUGCUGAAUCACGAAAAUGAUGAGUGGACGAAUAGAUGUCCAUUGGAUAGCCGUGAUCAUAUUGGCAUCAUGUUUUCACAAGGACAUAGGUCAUGGGGUGGCAGGGUAGCCUAGAGGUUAGAGCGUUGGACUAGCAACCGGAAGGUUGCAAGUUCAAAACCCAGAGCUGACAAGGGACUACCCCUGAACAGGCAGAUAACCCACUGUUCCUAGGCCGUCAUUGAAAAUAAGAAUUUGUUCUUAACUGACUUGCCUGGUUAAAAAAUGAUUUGGAAUUGUCAAAUUUGAAGGCCUAAUGCCAUUUUUGGGUUUCUGUUUCCUUCCUGAUAGCCAGCUAACAUGAUCAUUUAUGCAAAGUAGGGC
rnacentral:lncRNA from 1 species